UACGUAGGGUGCGAGCGUUAAUCGGAAUUACUGGGCGUAAAGCGUGCGCAGGCGGUUGUACAAGACAGGUGUGAAAUCCCCGGGCUCAACCUGGGAACUGCAUUUGUGACUGCAUCGCUGGAGUGCGGCAGAGGGGGAUGGAAUUCCGCGUGUAGCAGUGAAAUGCGUAGAUAUGCGGAGGAACACCGAUGGCGAAGGCAAUCCCCUGGGCCUGCACUGACGCUCAUGCACGAAAGCGUGGGGAGCAAACAGG
rnacentral:rRNA from 1 species